rnacentral:lncRNA from 1 species
AUUUUGCAUAGUACACUGAUUACUGGCUUCUUUGGAAUAGUCGGAAUAUUUGAAAAUGAAGGGUCCAUGUUCCAUCACGGCAACAAUUUGCUGAAGAUAUUUGAAUCUGUGGCUCCUGGAGCUAUCAAGGGAAGCUCAUAAAAUGGAGAUGACCAGGUAGACAAAGUGAAGAAGAAGCUCCAGAAAGAAAGAACACCAUUGUAAAAGGUACUGGUUGAAUGGUGACCUGCAAAAGAUAUGUCCAUGUUCUAACCCCUGGAACCUGAGAAUGGGACCUUAUUUGGAAAAGGAAUCUUUGCAGAUGUGAUGAAGGAUCUCCAGAUGCUGUCACCCUGGAUUAUCCAGGUGAGCCUUAAAUCUAAUGACAAGUGCCAUAAGAGGCAGAAGAGGAGGAGACAGGCAGAAGAGAAGGCCAUGCGAAGGUGGAGGCAGAAACUGGAGUCAUGCAGCCACGGGCCAAGGAACCCUGGAGCUCCCAGAAGCUGGAAGAGGCGAAGAGGAAUAAUCCCCUGGAGCCUUCAGAGGGAGUGCAGUCCUGCUGACAUCUUGAUUUUGG